rnacentral:rRNA from 1 species
UACGUAGGGAGCAAGCGUUGUCCGGAAUCAUUGGGCGUAAAGAGCGUGUAGGCGGUCAGGUAGGUCUGUUGUGAAAACUCGAGGCUCAACCUCGAGACGCCGAUGGAAACCAUCAGACUAGAGUCCGGAAGAGGAGAGUGGAAUUCCUGGUGUAGCGGUGAAAUGCGCAGAUAUCAGGAAGAACACCAGUGGCUAAGGCGGCUCUCUAGUACGGUACUGACGCUGAGACGCGAAAGCGUGGAGAGCGAACAGG